rnacentral:rRNA from 1 species
AGUGAACGCUGGCGGUAGGCCUAACACAUGCAAGUCGAACGGCAGCACAGUAAGAGCUUGCUCUUACGGGUGGCGAGUGGCGGACGGGUGAGGAAUACAUCGGAAUCUACUUUUUCGUGGGGGAUAACGUAGGGAAACUUACGCUCAUACCGCAUACGACCUACGGUUGAAAGCAGGGGAUCUUCGGACCUUGCGCGAUCGAAUUAGCCGAUGUCGGAUUAGCUAGUUGGCGGGGUAAAGGCCCACCAAGGCGACGAUCCGUAGCUGGUCUGAGAGGAUGAUCAGCCACACUGGAACUGAGACACGGUCCAGACUCCUACGGGAGGCAGCAGUGGGGAAUAUUGGACAAUGGGCGCAAGCCUGAUCCAGCCAUACCGCGUGGGUGAAGAAGGCCUUCGGGUUGUAAAGCCCUUUUGUUGGGAAAGAAAAGCAGCAGGUUAAUACCCCGCUGUUCUGACGGUACCCAAAGAAUAAGCACCGGCUAACUUCGUG